rnacentral:rRNA from 1 species
UACGUAGGCAGCAAGGCGUUGUUCGGAGUUACUGGGCGUAAAGGGUGUGUAGGCGGUUGUUUAAGUUUGGUGUGAAAUCUCCCGGCUCAACUGGGAGGGUGCGCCGAAUACUGAAUGACUAGAGUGUGGGAGAGGUGAGUGGAAUUCCUGGUGUAGGACGGUGAAAUGCGUAGAUAAUCAGGAGGAACACCGGUGGUGUAGACGGCUCACUGGACCAUAACUGACGCUGAGACACGAAAGCGUGGGUAGCAAACAGG